rnacentral:rRNA from 1 species
UACGUAGGGGGCAAGCGUUGUCCGGAAUCAUUGGGCGUAAAGAGCGUGUAGGUGGCUCGGUAAGUCCGCUGUGAAAGUCCAGGGCUCAACCCUGGAAAGCCGGUGGAAACUGUCGAGCUCGAGUCCGGAAGAGGCGAGUGGAAUUCCUGGUGUAGCGGUGAAAUGCGCAGAUAUCAGGAGGAACACCAAUGACGAAGGCAGCUCGCUGGGACGGUACUGACACUGAGACGCGAAAGCGUGGGGAGCAAACAGG